UAGAUUCCUAGAGCAUUUAGAGUUAUUGCUACUCACUAAUCUCAUAGUUUUAUUGAUCAGCAAUGGCGGGGAGAAAACACGUUGUUUGCUUGAUCUUUGUGCUUGCGUUAAUAUUUGGAAAUCCUACUUGUGCCACAGAUUAUUGCUACUCAGCUGUUAGCAAGCUAAUCGUGUGCGUGGGUCCUACAUGUAAGUUGGACUGUUGGCUAGAGGCGAAAUACAACAAAGGCAGCGUCAAGGCUCACAGAUGCAAGAAACACGGUGUCUUUACCGAUUGUUAUUGUGAAAUUUGCGUAAAAUUUUGAUGGAUCGAUCAAUGAUUUGUAAAAAUUCUUUAAUUGAUUUUAGCAUCGUCUAAUAAUAUUAUAAGUCGAUUGUUACCUUGUUCCUUUAUUGAUUUGAUUUGAAACUAGUUGCCUUUUGUGUGGACAUACGA